rnacentral:piRNA from 1 species
UACUUCAGUUAAAAACUCUAAAUGGUCAGU